CCUACGGGGAGCAGCAGUCGAGAAUCAUUCACAAUGGGGGAAACCCUGAUGGUGCGACGCCGCGUGGGGGAAUGAAGGUCUUCGGAUUGUAAACCCCUGUCAUGUGGGAGCAAAUUAAAACGAUCGUACCACAAGAGGAAGAGACGGCUAACUCUGUGCCAGCAGCCGCGGUAAUACAGAGGUCUCAAGCGUUGUUCGGAAUCACUGGGCGUAAAGCGUGCGUAGGCUGUUUCGUAAGUCGUGUGUGAAAGGCGCGGGCUCAACCCGCGGACGGCACAUGAUACUGCGAGACUAGAGUAAGGGAGGGGGAACCGGAAUUCUCGGUGUAGCAGUGAAAUGCGUAGAUAUCGAGAGGAACACUCGUGGCGAAGGCGGGUUCCUGGACAGUAACUGACGCUGAGGCACGAAGGCCAGGGGAGCGAAAGGGAUUAGAUACCCCAGUAGUC
rnacentral:rRNA from 1 species